UUGAAUUGAAGAGUUUGAUCAUGGCUCAGAUUGAACGCUGGCGGCAGGCUUAACACAUGCAAGUCGAACGGUAACAUAAAGAAGCUUGCUUCUUUGAUGACGAGUGGCGGACGGGUGAGUAAUGCUUGGGAAUCUAGCUUAUGGAGGGGGAUAACUAUGGGAAACUGUAGCUAAUACCGCGUAGUAUCGAAAGAUUAAAGUGUGGGACCUUCGGGCCACAUGCCAUAGGAUGAGCCCAAGUGGGAUUAGGUAGUUGGUGAGGUAAAGGCUCACCAAGCCGACGAUCUCUAGCUGGUCUGAGAGGAUGACCAGCCACACUGGGACUGAGACACGGCCCAGACUCCUACGGGAGGCAGCAGUGGGGAAUAUUGCGCAAUGGGGGCAACCCUGACGCAGCCAUGCCGCGUGAAUGAAGAAGGCCUUCGGGUUGUAAAGUUCUUUCGGUAGCGAGGAAGGCAUUUAGUUUAAUAGACUAGGUGAUUGACGUUAACUACAGAAGAAGCACCGGCUAACUCCGUGCCAGCAGCCGCGGUAAUACGGAGGGUGCGAGCGUUAAUCGGAAUAACUGGGCGUAAAGGGCACGCAGGCGGUGACUUAAGUGAGGUGUGAAAGCCCCGGGCUUAACCUGGGAAUUGCAUUUCAUACUGGGUCGCUAGAGUACUUUAGGGAGGGGUAGAAUUCCACGUGUAGCGGUGAAAUGCGUAGAGAUGUGGAGGAAUACCGAAGGCGAAGGCAGCCCCUUGGGAAUGUACUGACGCUCAUGUGC
rnacentral:rRNA from 1 species